rnacentral:lncRNA from 1 species
UUACAUUUUUUAUUUUUUAUCGCAAUUAACGCAUGUGCAGAUUAGAAUGAUCCGCCCCGUGCAUCCCACCCGCUCUGUACUACAGUCACUUCAACGUUGUGGCUUUCCCAUGAUCAGAGUAGCUGACUAACCACGGACCUAUAACUGCUGCACACUCAUAAAAAUGAUUCAAGCACUUCUUAGAUAUGACAAAUUAAUAUUCUAUUUGUCUAAUGAAAUAUAUAUUAAUUCAAAUAAAAACCAAAAUAGUUUAACUCGUACAACUUAAAAUGUAUUCAUCGUCUCCGCUGACGCUGCUGACCUAUCCGUUCAAGAUUGAGGUCAAUGACGGAAGCAUGCGCACGUGAGUUGACCACGCCCCUAUUUCCAUGCCCUGAAGCAGCGCGCCAUUUUGUUCAUCUUCUGGCUGCAGCGAGCGGCUUCAACUUACUCUCGGAAUGUAUGGACAAACUGAACCUCAGGAACUUGGUGUCUAUUUCAAUGGAUGGGCCCAAUGUGAAUUGGAAACUCUUCGACCUUUUCCAGAAAGAUCAAGCUGAGCAGUACGGAAGUCUUCAGCUCGUUUGUGUGGGGAGCUGUGGCCUACACACGCUACACAACUCCUUCAAGUGUGGGUUCACUGUAUGGCAGCUGGACAAAUUGCUGAGAGCAAUGCACACAUUGUUUCACAAUACGCCUGCCAGGAGAGAGGAUUACAUCACCGUAACCAAGUCCAGUGUGUUCCCUCUAUCUUUCUGUGCCCAUCGUUGGGUAGAAAACCUUCCGGUUGUGGAGAGAGCCCUGGCAGUCUGGCCAUCAUUUCUCCUGUACAUGGAAGCUGUGAAAACAAAGAGACUCCCGAACCCUGGAACAGGUAGGCCCUUCUUAAAUGAUGUGAAUAGGUCUGUGACUUAGGGCUGUCGCAAUAAUCGCAAAAAUGAAAUAUCGCGAUAUUUAGAGCACACUGCGGUAGAUAAUGGGCCAUCGCGAUUACCGCAUAUGACCUGGUGCGGGUUGCGCGUUCAUGAAACUGACCGUGGAAUUCUAGAAUGAAACGUGCGUUGCCAUGAUAACCAUUCAUUAACGUUCAUUAAUUUAGUAAUGGUGAACUCGCGUUGGAUAACGCGAGUAACUCGCCUAACCUGACGC